UACGUAGGGUGCAAGCGUUAUCCGGAAUUAUUGGGCGUAAAGAGCUCGUAGGCGGUUUGUCGCGUCUGCUGUGAAAACUGGGGGCUCAACUCCCAGCCUGCAGUGGGUACGGGCAGACUAGAGUGCGGUAGGGGAGAUUGGAAUUCCUGGUGUAGCGGUGGAAUGCGCAGAUAUCAGGAGGAACACCGAUGGCGAAGGCAGAUCUCUGGGCCGUAACUGACGCUGAGGAGCGAAAGCAUGGGGGAGCGAACAGG
rnacentral:rRNA from 1 species